rnacentral:rRNA from 1 species
GAUGAACGCUGGCGGCGUGCCUAAUACAUGCAAGUCGAGCGAACAGACGAGGAGCUUGCUCCUCUGACGUUAGCGGCGGACGGGUGAGUAACACGUGGAUAACCUACCUAUAAGACUGGGAUAACUUCGGGAAACCGGAGCUAAUACCGGAUAAUAUAUUGAACCGCAUGGUUCAAUAGUGAAAGACGGUUUUGCUGUCACUUAUAGAUGGAUCCGCGCCGCAUUAGCUAGUUGGUAAGGUAACAGCUUACCAAGGCAACGAUGCGUAGCCGACCUGAGAGGGUGAUCGGCCACACUGGAACUGGGACACGGUCCAGACUCCUACGGGAGGCAGCAGUAGGGAAUCUUCCGCAAUGGGCGAAAGCCUGACGGAGCAACGCCGCGUGAGUGAUGAAGGUCUUCGGAUCGUAAAACUCUGUUAUUAGGGAAGAACAAAUGUGUAAGUAACUAUGCACGUCUUGACGGUACCUAAUCAGAAAGCCACGGCUAACUACGUG